rnacentral:rRNA from 1 species
GGUGAGCACUCUAGGCAUACUGCCCGUUUAACACGGGAGGAAGGUGGGGACGACGUCAAGUCAGUAUGGCCCUUACGUCCUGGGCUGCACACGUGCUACAAUGGCCGGUACAGAGGGAAGCAAGACCGCGAGGUGGAGCAAAUCCCUAAAAACCGUCCUCAGUUCGGAUUGAAGUCUGCAAUUCGACUUCAUGAAGCCGGAUUCGCUAGUAAUGGCGCAUCAGCUACGGCGCCGUGAAUACGUUCCCGGGCCUU